AGCCAGUCAAACACACUACAGAUCCUCACACUACAUAGGGACAAGCCACUGUUGGGUGUGCUUGCUUUUCGUAAAACCCCUUCACAUAAAACAAAAAGAAAGGGAGAUAUGUUGGGAGCAAUGCUACAUAAUUCUAGGGAAAAAUCAUUUGAGUAGGCCUAGUUCUCCUGCCUACAGCCCAGCUAGGACAUUCCAGACAUAACUGCAUCUUGGCCUCGGGUCACAACUGAGACCUCAGUGAUCCCCGGAUGCUGUCAUCUCCAGGACAAGACCACACCUGUGGGAGAUGCCAGAGAGGAACCAAAUCUUCAUCUGCAUAAUUCCUCAUUGUUCUUAGAUUUCCCCUGCCCCCCAGCCUUUUGUUACACCUUGUCUAUCCCAAUGUAAAGUACUGAACUCUAUAUUUCACUUGUUACAUCUGUUUCCCCAGGUACUGAAUAAAAGGUGCUGCAAGCUAGGGGGUCUUUGUCUUUGCUGCCCAGAGCAGCACUGAUCAGACCCAAAGCUCAGCUUCUUCUCAGUCUCAUUUGUCUACCUUUCCUGUAAUGCGCCGUGUGCUGCCGUGGCUCACAGGAGACUAGGACUCACUGCAGAGGUUCUGGUAUGAAGCCUGAAGAACAGAGAGUACAUUUUUUGGGAAAAUGCUUACUGUAAAUCCUGGGACUCUGAAGAGGUUAUUCUGACAAGUCAUUUUCCCUGGUGUGUCUUUGAUGUCUUUUCUUAAGGACUUGGACAUGAUAGAACUUCGAGCUGUGAGCUGCCAUUCAGCCUCUGUUGCCAUCUCUGAUGCCCUAGAACCCAUGAUGUCUUGAGGAUGUCUAUUCUAAAAGAGUGCUGCUCUGGUAAGAGAUCUAGAUUUUUUUGUUGAAAUUAAUUUUUUCGUAGCUUUUACUCUUCGAUUUCAGUUUUGUACUCACUUGUUUCAUGGGAUAGGUUUGACUCCUAUUCUUGUGACAUCCUUGAAAAAUUAAGGUUGAAAGAUGAAAGUAGAGUUGGAAGAGGGC
rnacentral:lncRNA from 1 species